UUUGACCUGAAAUCAGGUAGGGCUACCCGCUGAACUUAAGCAUAU
rnacentral:rRNA from 1 species